rnacentral:rRNA from 1 species
UGGGGAAUAUUGCACAAUGGGCGCAAGCCUGAUGCAGCCAUGCCGCGUGUAUGAAGAAGGCCUUCGGGUUGUAAAGUACUUUCAGUCGGGAGGAAGGUGUCAAGGUUAAUAACCUUGGCAAUUGACGUUACCGACAGAAGAAGCACCGGCUAACUCCGUGCCAGCAGCCGCGGUAAUACGGAGGGUGCAAGCGUUAAUCGGAAUUACUUGGCGUAAAGCGCACGCAGGCGGUUGAUUGAGUCAGAUGUGAAAGCGCCGGGGUUAACCCGGGAAUUGCAUAUGAUACUGGGGAGCUAGAGUGUUGUAGAGGGGGGUAGAAUUCCAUGUGUAGCGGUGAAAUGCGUAGAGAUGGGGAGGAAUACCGGUGGCGAAGGCGGCCCCCUGGACAAAGACUGACGCUCAGGUGCGAAAGCGUGGGGAGCAAACAGG